rnacentral:rRNA from 1 species
GACAGAGGGUGCAAACGUUGCUCGGAAUUACUGGGCGUAAAGCGCGUGCAGGCGGACCACCAAGUCGGACGUGAAAGCCCUGAGCUCAACUCAGGAACUGCAUCCGAAACUGGCGGUCUGGAGUAGUGGAGAGGAAAGCAGAAUUCCUGGUGUAGAGGUGAAAUUCGUAGAUAUCAGGAGGAACACCGGUGGCGAAGGCGGCUUUCUGGACACUUACUGACGCUGAGACGCGAAAGCGUGGGGAGCAAACAGG